GCGCCCGUAGCUCAGCUGGAUAGAGCGUUGGAUUCCGGUUCCAAAGGUCACAGGUUCAAAUCCUGUCGGGCGUAC
rnacentral:tRNA from 2 species